rnacentral:tRNA from 1 species
UGAUAAUUAGUUUAAAUUAAAAACAAAUGAUUUCGACUCAUUAAAUUAUGAAUGGUAUCAUAAUUAUCAAA